GGAUGAGAUUGUUGAGUAAGUUGACAUGUAAACCUAUGAGCUGUGACUUCCUCCUUCCGAGCAGUGUAGAGCCAGAGACUUCCUUCACCACUUUAAUGUAGUUUCAUCUUAGACCAUAGUUUCAGAAAAAAGCAGCAAAAUUUCCAAACUUUCUCACUUCUGUUUUUUUGGCACAGUGUAAGGAGCAGUAAUGGCGUUGCAGUGUUUUGUCCUCCUGGUCAUUUUCCUUAGUAAAUGCCUUGGACAUACUGAAUUCAUUUAUACAGCAAAGGAUGAAGUAAAAUUGUUUUGCGACACCAACAAAUGGGAAACAAACACAGAGUCUGACAACAGAAUUGAUGUGAAUUGCACAGUGGAGUGUGUUCAUGGUGAAGCACUCAAACUUAAUAAUACCCAGAAUUCCUGCAAAAAUAAGAUUCGGUCAAAGUUGGUGAAAAAUGUUCGCUAAUAGCGAGCAGUGGAUUUUAUCGAUGUGUUACUGCUCUGGAUUCUGGUUUCUUAUUUCCAUUCAAACCGUCUCCCAACACUGUCACGUCGUACAUAGUCGCCACUGCAAAUGAAGAAAUGACAAACAAGUCUGAGGAAAGAUCUUCAGUCGAGCUAACUGAAGGUGAAGAUGUACUUUUAAACUGCAGUGUCAUCUUUACAGAACAAUAUGACAACAAGAACUUUGUAGUGUACUGGAUCAAGACCAUUGGAAAGAACAGUACCUGUGUGUAUUCUUAUGAUUAUGACUUAUAUACUCGUAUAAGAUACAAUCCCCACUGCAAUGUGCAAGAAGAACUGCUUUACACACUCUCAAACCAAACUGAAGGCAAAAUCACCCAUAACAUCAGGAUCAGUAACGUAACAGACUCAGAUGCUGGACAAUAUCUUUGUGCCUUACAAGUGCACACACAGAUAAAACAAAAGGAAAGUGGAAGAUCAUAAAUAAUAUUACAGUCAGUGUACAUAAAGACAAAGGACCUGAAAUAGCUGGAAACAACGCUGACCUCAACCCUAAAGAUCCCAUUCCUAAAGACAAGGCAUCUGAAAGCACUGGAAACAGCACUGCUCUCAUCGUCUGUGUUACAAUUCCCAUAUUACUGGCUCUUGCUAUAGCUACUGUGUGGUUUAUCUGGAAAAAGAUUAAAACCUCACCAGGAUCUCAGGCGAUAGAACUACAGCGAAACCAAAAUGCGGAUGAUACGGAAGAAAAAGCCGAUAUAGAAUGUCCGUAUGCAGUGGGAUGUGGAGAGGAGGAGAUUAAGUUUAGAUCCCAAGGGGAUACAUUAAAGCAGGAAGGCCACGAAGAAUCCAGAGCACUCUAUUCAGUCAUGAAGCUGAAUGAUUUGUAUGAACCCGGGGUAUGAGAGGACACUGUAACAUUGAUGUCAAGAAAGAACUUUGAAGGACAUACUGAAUUCAUUUAUACAGCAAAGGAUGAAGUAAAAUUGUUUUGCGACACCAACAAAUGGGAAAUAAGCACAAAGUCUGACAACAACAUUGAUGUGAAUUGCACAGUGGAGUGUGUUCAUGGUGAAGCACUCAAACUUAAUAAUACCCAGAAUUCCUGCAAAAAUAAAGAUUCGUUCAAAGUUGGUGAAAAAUGUUCGCUAAUAGCGAGCAGUGGAUUUUAUCGAUGUGUUACUGCUCUGGAUUCUGGUUUCUUAUUUCCAUUCAAACCGUCUCCCAACACUGUCACGUCGUACAUAGUCGCCACUGCAAAUGAAGAAAUGACAAACAAGUCUGAGGAAAGAUCUUCAGUCGAGCUAACUGAAGGUGAAGAUGUACUUUUAAACUGCAGUGACAUCUUUACAGAAGAAUAUGACAACCAGGACUUUGUAGUGUACUGGAUCAAGACCAUUGGAAAGAACAGUACCUGUGUGUCUUCUUAUGAUUUUGAUUUAUAUACUCGUAUAACAUACAAUCCCCACUGCAAUGUGCAAGAAGAACUGCUUUACAGACUCUCAAACCAAACUGAAGGCAAAAUCACCCAUAACAUCAGGAUCAGUAACGUAACAGACUCAGAUGCUGGACAAUAUCUUUGUGCCUUACAAGUGCGCACACGUGCACACACGUAUCAAGUGCACACACGUGAUAAAACAAAAGGAAAGUGGAAGAUCAUAAAUAAUAUUACAGUCAGUGUACAUAAAGACAAAGGACCUGAAAUAGCUGGAAACAGUGCUGACCUCAACCCUAAAGAUCCCAUUCCUAAAGACAAAGCAUCUGAAAGCACUGGAAACAGCACUGAGUCUCUGAUCCGCUUGUGUGUUACACUGCCAGUAAUACUGGGUAUUCCGGCAGCUCUUAUGGUGGUAUAUUUAUGGAAAAAGAUGAAAAUUUCACCAAGAUCUCAGGCUAUGGAACUGCAAACAAUCCAACAUUGAGAAGAAACUCCUGAUAUGAACUUUGAGGCAUGAGAGUAACACAGCACUUAGGAAGAGCUGACGUUUAAAACGUGUUAAAUAUGUGCUCUUUAUUAUGCUUUCUUUUACUUAUUGAAACUCUCCCAAUACUGUCCCAGCAUGUGUCUUUCUCAUUUCAAACCUACAAAAUUAGUCCAUUUAAUAAAUCUGACUUUGGGUCAAAUUUAAUGGUUCUGUAUUUUCUUUCUAAGUAUAAAAAAGCAUUAGAAUGUUUUUAUUGAUGAAAAGACA
ensembl:lncRNA